GAGGGGGUCAUAAGACCUGCUAACUCUUUAAUCUGGCACUAAUAACCAGCCCCCUCU
rnacentral:tRNA from 1 species